rnacentral:sRNA from 1 species
AAAACAAACAAACAAAAAACCAACCUGGCUAUUCCUAGGAAUGAUAAAAUAUCUUCCUUUGUAGAAGGAACAGUUAGAGAAUGGAUCAGAAUCUUUCUAUCUAGGGUAAUAGCUUUUUAGGUUGGGGUAAUUGUUCGUCCCAAAUAGAUGACCAAAGGACUGGACUUUAGAAGGUGAGACCCUGUAACCUUUACUGAAAAUGAAAUUCAGAAGAGCAGAGGUGUCAGUUUGGCAAAUUUUUUGAGAGGGGUUACACAGAAGAAUGCAAUCUAUAUAGUGGACAGUCCUAGAUUUAGGGAGAGAAAGAGAGAAGGUAAUUCAGAAACCAGGGCCUGGCCAAAUUGGUGUGGGCUGUGCUGGAAUCUCUGAGGUAGAACAGUCCAGGUAAGUUGUGUAGAAAAGUGGGUGUCAGGAUCUGUUCAGGAAAAGGCAAAUAUGUUCUGUGACUGGGUAUCUAGAGGGAUAGAGAAAGUAGCAUCCGGAGAUCUAAGAUUGAGAAAUGAGAAUUCCCCAAGGGGAUAGUGGGAAGAAGUGUAUAAGGAUUAGCCACAACAGGAUGUACAGGAACUAUGGCAGAAUUAAUGGACCUGAGGUUUUGAACCAGGAGAUAGGUUCCACUAAGUUUCCUAACUGCUAAUGUAGGGGUUUUAAAGGGGGAAGAGGUAGGGCAAAGGAGGUUUUUCCUUAAGAGAUCAGAGGUGAUAUACUUAAGGCCCCUGAGGCUCUGGAGUGAAAGCAGGUAUUGAGGUUGGGUGAUGUACCUGGUAGAAUUCAGUAAUUGCUUGACAACAGGAGAAUGUUUAGCAGCAGAGGGGUUCUGGACAUCCCUGACAAGGAGGUCUACUUGAGAAGCUGGCCAGAAGUCAACUUGCAUUAGAAAAUGUGCUAUUACCAAGAAGCAUGUCACCAAGACAACCGAAUAGAACUGUCCAGAGUAUGUCCUUCUGCAGAAAUAUCAAUUGAGACAACUAUCCAGGCAUGAAAUACCUUCAUAAGAACUAAACAAAACAGGGAAAGCUCCUUAAACCAGAAGAGAGUUGUGGCAAAAAAAGACACACUCAACCAAGAGUUGCGAUGAAAGCAAUGUGUCACAUGAAUUGCCAAUACUUACACUAGUUAAAAGAAGAAAGAAACAAAAGAAAAUAGAGCAUCAUUAUAUAAAAGAGUCAACUUAUCAAGCAGAACCAUCCCUUUAUUCUUCUUCUUUCCCCUACAAUGAAGUGAUUCUUUACAACAUCCUGUGCUCCUUUUAAAGCCCAUUGGUUCCUUGUGGUGCUGUCAGAAUGUACAUGAGGAACGUCUACUGAAGAAAGGAAAGCCUCUCAGAAGCCAAAUACCUGAAGAAAACUCACUCUGCCUCUCAUAAGAAUCCAUCAGUGGCCAAUAUCACCUCAGUGUUUCCACAGGACGUAUCCCAGAUGAUUGAGUCGGGGGAAAGUCUACAAAAGUUUGGAUGUUGAUUAUUUCCUAAUAUCCCAGAAAUGAGAGGAAAGCCUAAACAUGAUCUAGGAUUAAGGAUACCAGCUUUUGCAGAAGAACUAAAACAACUACCCAUGUCUAAACAAGCAACUACUAGACUCUUGGGCUUCCCAUUCACAACUGCCCAUUGUUGGGUUAGCUGGACUACUGACUAGUCACCAGCCAACAAACAGGCAUUAAAUUCACCAUCCUAAGGAAAUUAUUCAUACUCAAAACAUAACAGCCAAAAGUCAUGCACUUGAAGACUUCUGUCUCUACUCCUCUAUUCUACGGAUAAAGUGAAACCAUAACUUUCAGGAAAAGAAAACAUGAGAAUGUAGAUUACAAAAGUCGGAACUGACAAAAUACAUAAAGACCAUGGGAUGGAAUUUACAUUUUGAGGAUGGCAGAGUAAUGAAUCAGAAAGAGCCUUUGACACCAACGACUCACAGGAAGUCCCAACAUGUCUCCUUAAUAUCUUCAUAGUGGUCAUAUCAUUUGAAUAUGAAGAAGAAAAAGAGCAGGUGGAGCCUGACAAGAUCUUCCUGGCUGUUGACCUGCGCAGCUGGAGAAAUCACUAUUGCAGCACAGCUGGACCUGUGGGUUGUGAGAGCUGUGGCUUCGACUUUUACAGAAAAGAUUCUGCUGAAGAGAAUGAGAAGGAAGAGCAUACAUGGCCAAGAACCUGCAGGGUAUAAAAGACCCCAGCACCCAGAUGGAAAGGUGGAGCCCACCCUCUCCCAAAAUACUUCAUUUCUCCAAAAAAAAGAGAAGUCAAUGGGAGAUAUGAAGCCUGAACUAACCAUGCAAGGAUCCCCAGGUUGUGACUAUGACACCAACCCAGUCACAAAACCUUCAACUUACAUUUGUUCUGCCUGGAAAAUGAACUAGGGUAAUGGUGACUCUCAGAAGACCGGAGCAUGUUGUACUCUGAGAGGCUCUACCCAGCAGCUGACUCAGACAGAUGCAGACACCCACAUCCAAACAGUGGAUGCAGCUUGUGGACUCUUAUGAAAGAAUAAUUGGAGGGAUUGUGAGACUGAAGAGGAUGGGACUCCACAGAAACACCAACAGAGUCAACUCACCUGGACCCUUGGGGCUCUGUGUCUGAACCACCAGCCAAAGAACAUACACUGCCUGGACCUAGGCCUCCUUGCACAUAGGUAGCAAAUGUGCUGCUUGGUCUUCAUGUGGAUCCUAAACAAGUGGAGCAGGGCCUAUCCCCAAAGCUGUUGCCCAUAUAUGGGAUAAGUCCUUUAGCUGGGCUACCUUGUCUGGCCUCAGUGGAAGAGGAAGUGUUUAGCCUAGCAGAGAUUUGAAAUGCCAAGGUUGGGGGAUACUGAGGGGCCACACCCUCUCAGAGGAGAAGGCAAGGGGAAAUUGGGGAAGGAUUAUGGGAAGGAGUGUCCUGUAGAAGAACAAUGAGCAGGAUGUAAAGUGA